rnacentral:rRNA from 1 species
UACGUAGGUGGCAAGCGUUGUCCGGAUUUAUUGGGUUUAAAGGGUUCGUAGGCGGCCCUGUAAGUCAGUGCUGAAAUAUCCCAGCUUAACUGGGAGGGUGGCAUUGAUACUGCGGGGCUAGAGUACAGAUGAGGUAGGCGGAAUUGACGGUGUAGCGGUGAAAUGCUUAGAUAUCGUCAAGAACACCUAUAGCGAAGGCAGCUUACUAGGCUGUAACUGACGCUGAGGCACGAAAGUGUGGGGAGCAAACAGG